ACAGUGAAAAAAUUGAAGAUCUUUCUUCAGAGAAGUUAUGCUAGAAAUACUUUCAUAAUCCAUGCUGUUUCCUGUCUUAUGCCUGACAUGCACUAUGAGUAAUUUUGGAAAUUCUUCUGCACCAAUGACAGAGACAACAUGAACACAGUCUCUGCUACCUCAAAUUCUGCAGUCCGGUUUCGCAUGUCUUGGUAAAUCUGCAGGGUCAGCAUGCCCAAGGUGCAAGAAGUGGAUGGGAAAACCCAACUGCCUCUUUCCUUUUGCCAGCAUGCUUUGGAAACAGUGCUCUGCCAAUCCUCCCAAGCGACUUCAAUUACGCGCUACCAGAGAAACAGGAUCAUUUGGACAGGUGAACCCUGGCACGGCACCAACGUCCUCUUCAUUGCAAGCAAUAAAAACUCAUAUGGGAACACCCGCAGCUCUGUGGCUGUUUGACAUGCCCAGCGCAACCUCUGCUCCGUGCCGGCAGCAGCCAUGCAGCAGUGCUGCGUAUCGGCUACCAUGAUCCCCCCCUGCCAAACCACAGAGGUCGCGCGUUCACAGCAGCUGGGAGACAGCGGUGUUGCUGAGUAUUGGAUGUGAAGAUAACGGUGUUGCCUAGGAGUUACUGAAGGAGCAAUGAGGAGAUAAUGGAAUCAUACAAGUGCUUUUGGAAAUAAAUGGCCCCACAGAAUAUUACUGUUGGUGAGAAUGCAAUAGCGGGAAAGAACAAGCUCAGCUAUUGAGACUGUUUGCAGAAAACACACGGAGAAGAAAUGCUGUGUUUUUGUCCUUGAGCGUUAAGCAAGCUCAUGGGCAAAUGAGGGAAAGACAAUAAGCGCAAAGCUCCUGCCUGCCCCUUUUACUUUCAUUUUGAGAAGAAACUUCAGUAACGAAUCUUGAAGAAAUGAAUCACCUUUUCUCCCAUUGCCCUCCCCAGAGCUCUCAGCUGCCAGCUUGGCAGGAACUUUCUGGUGGAGAAACAGCCCCUGGAGUGGGGGGAGGCCCAGAGGAGAGAAAGGUGCCAACACAGCGGAAGACGAAACCAUUCGAAGAAGGACAGAGAAGUAAAGAGCUCCGACCAAGUCUGUGCCUGACGUUAGCCGAGUGUGGGUCGCUGCCCUGUGCCAGCAGUGCAUUUCCUUCGUACUUCCACAAGAGAAGGACCACUCCCCACUUGCUGACCACAAACUCCAGCACUGGUACCCUGAGUUUUUAAGAGACCCUUUAUUUUUCACAGAAUGAUAGAGCACAUAAACACCUCAGUGAAUAGCACGUGUCUGCACAUGGAAGACACUUUGUACACACCUGGUUUCAAUAAAGUUCAGUCCAUAUAGCAGAUUAAUAACUGUAACUGGAUAAUGUAAUUUUUAAUGGGCUAGGCACUUCCUACUACCACUUCUCCUUUCUUCCCCUCUUCUUGCCAGCACUCAAUAAAUGGAUAUUAUUUCCCAACUGA